rnacentral:rRNA from 1 species
UACGAAGGGUGCAAGCGUUACUCGGAAUUACUGGGCGUAAAGCGUGCGUAGGUGGUUUGUUAAGUCUGCUGUGAAAGCCCCGGGCUCAACCUGGGAAUGGCAGUGGAUACUGGCAAGCUAGAGUGCGGUAGAGGGUAGUGGAAUUCCCGGUGUAGCGGUGAAAUGGCGUAGAGAUCGGGAGGAACACCAGUGGCGAAGGCGGCUACCUGGACCAGCACUGACACUGAGGCACGAAAGCGUGGGGAGCAAACAGG